rnacentral:rRNA from 1 species
CGGCGAACGGGUGAGUAACGCGUGGAUAACCUACCCAGAGGUGGGGGAUAACCCGGGGAAACUCGGGCUAAUACCGCAUAUGACCGUGAGGUCAAAGGCGGCUCGCAAGAGCUGUCGCCAUUGGAGGGGUCCGCGUACGAUUAGCUAGUUGGUAGGGUAAUGGCCUACCAAGGCGACGAUCGUUAGCCGGCCUGAGAGGGUGAUCGGCCACACUGGAACUGAGACACGGUCCAG